AUUGAACGCUGGCGGCAUGCCUUACACAUGCAAGUCGAACGGCAGCACGGGUGCUUGCACCUGGUGGCGAGUGGCGAACGGGUGAGUAAUGCAUCGGAACGUGCCCAGUCGUGGGGGAUGACGCAGCGAAAGCUGUGCUAAUACCGCAUACGAUCUAUGGAUGAAAGCGGGGGAUCGCAAGACCUCGCGCGAUUGGAGCGGCCGAUGUCAGAUUAGCUAGUUGGUGGGGUAAAGGCCCACCAAGGCGACGAUCUGUAGCUGGUCUGAGAGGACGACCAGCCACACUGGGACUGAGACACGGCCCAGACUCCUACGGGAGGCAGCAGUGGGGAAUUUUGGACAAUGGGCGCAAGCCUGAUCCAGCAAUGCCGCGUGCAGGAAGAAGGCCUUCGGGUUGUAAACUGCUUUUGUACGGAACGAAAAGGUCUGGGUUAAUACCCUGGGCUCAUGACGGUACCGUAAGAAUAAGCACCGGCUAACUACGUG
rnacentral:rRNA from 1 species